rnacentral:SRP_RNA from 1 species
AUGGGGACUAGCCCGGGUGGUUCGGCGUCACCUGUAACCUGAAACCGUCGGUACGCGGGGGGCGAAGUUUGACGAAGGCUGCAACGGCCUGCGGGAACCUGUGUGUUCUGACUGUGAAACCUCGUCCCAUGAGGUCGAUGGCCAGGUAUUAAUAUUCCGGAGGGAAUAACGACCUGUCGCUGCGGGGACCGGUUCAGGCCCGGAAGGGAGCAGACUUACUGUAGACAUUUGGCGCCCAUGGGGUAUCGGGGCGGAGGAUGAAUACUUUGGCAAACGCAGUAACGUACAGUCGACCGAUAACACGUCCCCAU